GGGCAUUUCAGGCACACCAUG
rnacentral:piRNA from 1 species